UACAGAGGUCCCAAGCGUUGUUCGGAUUCACUGGGCGUAAAGGGUGCGUAGGCGGUCGGGUAAGUCUGAUGUGAAAUCUCACAGCUUAACUGUGAAACUGCAUUGGAUACUAUCCGGCUCGAGGAAUGGAGGGGAGACUGGAAUACUUGGUGUAGCAGUGAAAUGCGUAGAUAUCAAGUGGAACACCAGUGGCGAAGGCGACUCUCUGGGCCGUUACUGACGCUGAGGAGCGAAAGCGUGGGGAGCGAACAGG
rnacentral:rRNA from 1 species